rnacentral:rRNA from 1 species
GAUGAACGCUGGCGGCGUGCUUAACACAUGCCAGUCGAACGGAAAGGCCCAAGCUUGCUUGGGUACUCGAGUGGCGAACGGGUGAGUAACACGUGGGUGAUCUGCCCUGCACUUCGGGAUAAGCCUGGGAAACUGGGUCUAAUACCGGAUAGGACGAUGGUUUGGAUGCCAUUGUGGAAAGUUUUUUCGGUGUGGGAUGAGCUCGCGGCCUAUCAGCUUGUUGGUGGGGUAAUGGCCUACCAAGGCGUCGACGGGUAGCCGGCCUGAGAGGGUGUACGGCCACAUUGGGACUGAGAUACGGCCCAGACUCCUACGGGAGGCAGCAGUGGGGAAUAUUGCACAAUGGGCGCAGGCCUGAUGCAGCGACGCCGCGUGGGGGAUGACGGCCUUCGGGUUGUAAACUCCUUUCGCUAGGGACGAAGCGUUUUUGUGACGGUACCUGGAGAAGAAGCACCGGCUAACUACGUG